rnacentral:rRNA from 1 species
UACGUAGGGUGCGAGCGUUGUCCGGAAUUACUGGGCGUAAAGAGCUCGUAGGUGGUUUGUCGCGUUGUUCGUGAAAACCGGGGGCUUAACCCUCGGCGUGCGGGCGAUACGGGCAGACUGGAGUACUGCAGGGGAGACUGGAAUUCCUGGUGUAGCGGUGGAAUACGCAGAUAUCAGGAGGAACACCGGUGGCGAAGGCGGGUCUCUGGGCAGUAACUGACGCUGAGGAGCGAAAGCGUGGGGAGCGAACAGG